GAUAAUUGAAUGAAAGAAAUUAUAGAUAAAAUUAAAUAAUUGUUACAAGUUUCGAUUAAUGACAGAAAAGUAAGUACUUACGAGACCAUGUGAAUGGACAUACGUGCUGGUGCUCGGUGUUUUCUGAAAGGGAAGAUAACGCACAGUCGAGUGAAACAUCCUAUGAGUAGUUGCCUGACCGGAAGCAAAAACGCGUGUAAUCGUUAGCUCCUGUAUAGUCUGGCCUGGCUGGUUCUGCUCGAUCCGAGAAUGUGAGGAAAUGUGUGCGGGAAUUAAAAGAUAUCCAUAAACGCUAAUGCCAUUGUUAACGUUCGCAUUUUGGCAAUCAAUGUGAUAGUAAUCGAAAAGCUGGAAAGCACGUUACGACUGACUGAGAGACACUUCGGCGUUGGUUACGUUGAGCCGCGCCCUGCAUGAUCGACGAUCUAAACUGCGGGGAUCAUCUGAUUGCGAGCACUCAAGUGAAAGAUCCAAUUUUACCAAUUAAGCUUUCGCACUUUUUGGCGGCACGCUUGACGGCGUCCAAGAGUAAGGGCAAGAACGAGGAGAACGUUGAAGAGAAAGAGAAACUAGCCCGACAAAAUCCGGCAUUAAGGGCGUCGCCGGUCGAUUGGAUUAAGCCACGGCUCGCGUGACAAUUGACUCACGUCAUCAGCACGAUCGCCGAUCUCAACGGAGACGACAUCGGUCCGUGAAAUUUGCAAAGACCUCCGCACACGAAAAAAAAAAAAAAAGAUUCUCCAAACAUUCUUUUUAUCGGAAGCACGAUGCUGAUAUAAGCAAUUUUAACUUUAUUGAAUUGAUGGAAAUCACGAUUUCUCAAUAGUUAAAAUAGAGUAAACACAAAAUUAAAUUUACAAAUAAAAUUUCUUAUUGAAAUUAUUACGUUAAUUUUUUUUGGCAUAGGUUAACAAAACGUUUUCGACACGAGAUAAUUCUUCGGGAGUGAUUUUUCUACAUAAAGAUCAAUUACGGUAAAGUGAUCAAACUUUUUAAGAAGGCAA